rnacentral:rRNA from 1 species
AGUGAACGCUGGCGGUAGGCCUAACACAUGCAAGUCGAACGGCAGCACAGUAAGAGCUUGCUCUUACGGGUGGCGAGUGGCGGACGGGUGAGGAAUACAUCGGAAUCUACUUUUUCGUGGGGGAUAACGUAGGGAAACUUACGCUAAUACCGCAUACGACCUACGGGUGAAAGCAGGGGAUCUUCGGACCUUGCGCGAUUGAAUGAGCCGAUGUCGGAUUAGCUAGUUGGCGGGGUAAAGGCCCACCCAGGCGACGAUCCGUAGCUGGUCUGAGAGGAUGAUCAGCCACACUGGAACUGAGACACGGUCCAGACUCCUAAGGGAGGCAGCAGUGGGGAAUAUUGGACAAUGGGCGCAAGCCUGAUCCAGCCAUACCGCGUGGGUGAAGAAGGCCUUCGGGUUGUAAAGCCCUUUUGUUGGGAAAGAAAAGCAGCAGGUUAAUACCCCGCUGUUCUGACGGUACCCAAAGAAUAAGCACCGGCUAACUUCGUG